AUAAUUUUUUUAAGAUAAUUGAAAAGAAAAAAGUCCUCCGAGAAUCCAUACCGCGACUUCGUUUUAAUUAUCCAGCAAGCUCUUCAUUAGUCGUAAAACUCUCUCUGUGAGUUAUAGUUUUUGGAGAAUGUUGUUUGUCGAGAUGGCGAUUAAUCGGCGCGAACAGAGGAAGAUGUGAAAAUGGAGGAACGUAAAGAGACGGCAGUGUAUAUGUGCGGUUAUCUUCCCGGAGUUUAUCCGGAGAAAUCGCCGAUACUCUCUCCGGUUCCAGUACCGCUUCCGGCAUCAUCGACUCACUGCGGUGAUUUAUGGAAAGAUGUUUGCGGUGGUGGCUGUGGAUUUGCCAUGGCCAUUUCAGGAUCUGGAAAGUUCAUAACUUGGGGUUCGACGGAUGAUGAAGGUCAAAGCUAUAUGACUUCUGGAAAGCAUGGGGAGAUUCCAGAGCCAUUUCCUCUUCCACAUGAAGCUUCCGUAGUGAAGGCUGCUGCUGGCGGGGCACAUUGUGUAUCAGUUACAGCUACAGGGGAAGUAUAUACCUGGGGAUGGAAAGAGUGUGUUCCCUCUGUGAAAAUUAUCCAUGUUUCAGCAGCUGCAGAGAGCUUCCAAAAGGAUAAUAAUGAAAAACAAAAUGCACUACCGACUGAACAAGGUAGGACAGUUUCUCAAUCUGACAACAGAAAGGCUGAAGAGGAAAGUAUAAAGAAGAGAAAAGUGUCGACAAAUAAAGAAGAGUUUGAAAAUUUGUCUUCUGGAGAUGACCUUUUCACAGUGGCACCAUCUAUUGUAACUCUGGGCCCUGGAGUAAGGAUCACCAAUGUUGCUGCUGGUGGGCGCCACACUUUAGCGCUGUCAGAUAUGGGACAGGUUUGGGGUUGGGGCUAUGGAGGCGAAGGGCAGCUAGGUUUGGGAUCCCGAGUAAAAAUGGUGGCUUCUCCUCAUCUCAUACCUUGCCUUGAUACAUCUGUUUCUCGGGAAGAUCAGUCCUUGAUAGUCCCUCAAGGCAGCCUGUCUAAAUUCCCUGGAAAUUAUGUGAAAGAAAUAGCUUGUGGAGGACGGCAUAGUGCAGUAGUAACAGAUGCAGGAGCGCUAUUUACAUUUGGAUGGGGACUCUAUGGACAGUGUGGGCAAGGAAGCACAAAUGAUCAGCUGAGGCCUACUAAUGUACCUUCUUUAUCGGAAAUUCAAGUAGAAAGAGUUGCUGCUGGACUAUGGCAUACUAUUUGUAUCACUGCCAAUGGUCGUGUAUAUGCCUUUGGUGGGAAUCAGUUUGGACAACUGGGAACAGGAGCUGAUCAGGCUGAGACUCAACCAACGCAAUUGGAUGCAUCAAUUCUGGAAAGCAAGUGUGCAAAAUUGGUGUCUUGUGGGGCUCGACAUAGUGCAAUUCUAACAGAGGACGGUCAGGUAUACUGUUGGGGAUGGAACAAGUACGGCCAGGUAGAUCCUGAUAUCCUUCUUACAGAAAUUAAUUCACAAUGGCCAACAGCCUUGUUUGACAGGGACCCAUUUUUUGUUUAUCAUUGUACUGAACUGCAGCUCGGCUUGGGUGAUUCAAUGGACCGUAACAUUCCUUCACGUGUUUCCAUUGAAAGUUGUCGGCCAAAAAAUGUUGCAUGCGGUUGGUGGCAUACGCUACUGCUUACUGAAACGCCCCGAUGACAGAGAUGACAGUUUUGCUAGGAUAGCGAUUCCUUACCCAAAUGAUUUUCUCUGACACUUGUCCUCUGGUUUUCUGGUAUUUAUACUUUGCAUGAAAUUCAAGCUAUUGACAAAGCUUCUGACUAGCUAAUAUAAAGGGAUGAUGCAUCAAAUCUUGCUCGAGAUAGGACUCCUUUUGCGCUGCAGAAGCUGCAUCAGAGGCCAGAAGAUAUCCAGUCUGUGGAAUCCCUUGGAAGCCUGCGGUGAUGAAACAUGUUUCUCAACAAUCUUCGCAAUUCCAAAAAUAAAUAAAUAAAUACUUUGGCCAGAACCACUUAAAUUACCUCUACAACAAACCUAGCCCAUGUGUUGUUUGAUCGGCUUUCCAGUACGCCCUUCAAGAUGGUCAACUCUAAGCCCCGAAUCACUUGGGCAAUCUCUAAGAAGAGGCAGUUCUCAUUACAAAGCAUCUGCAAUUAGGCUUGUCUUAGUUACUGGCCAUGGGAUUAGGAAAAAAAAAAUUUUUCCCCGCAUUAAAGUGUAUAAAAAUACCUAAUUAAGAAAAAAUUUUUGUAAUUCUAAUUUUUAUUGAAAUGAUUGUCAUUAACAGUUGGAUAUAGAAA